UAUGCCAACAGGAAAGCCAACUGACUCAUCAGAAAUUCGCAAAUAAGUGCAUAAUUAGUUCUCAAUAAAAUAUCUCUCUCAGUUCUCAUUGCAGGAGCGGUUUCAAAUUCAAUUUUCAAAUUUGUAUAUUUAAUCAUGAGACUAGUGUUGUUUGUUUUUACUCUAUUGGUGUUUGUGUGUGGAAUACUGGCUAAUAUUAUAACUACUACAACACCAAAACCUCUAUUGAGGCCAGGAGGAAAGACUGCUUAUCGCUCUGUGGGUGGCAACUCCAGACGCAGUAGAGACGUAAAUGGUGGACAACCUGACAAAGGGCACCAAAGAGAUGAAGAGCUAAAGGAAUCAGGCAGUGAUCUCCACGGUGUGGGCUCACAAUCCAGACGGAGGGGCCGUGAUGUUAGUGGGAUGGCAUCAGUCGACCAAAUACCAAUGGGCCAAGACAAUCGAUUCUCUGAACGAGACCUUUCUCCCCACAGAUGGCUACAUCAGGGCAAGAAUGAGACGUGACAACACCAAGAGAGCUGGCCUGAAAAAGUUAUCAACGAAAUUUCAACCUAAAAAGGACCAAUCGAAGGAUAAGCUCCAUUCGACAGCAAGGUCUUUGGGACCCUUGCGAGCAAGGCGUGCGUAAAUAGUUAACAACUGGUUGGAAUAAUCACAUAUUAAAAAGUAAGAUUACAAAUGGAGAGCUUUAAAGAUAAUAAAGGAUAAUAAUAUUGAGAAAACACCGAUGAAACUGCAGAGGAAAGUUUAACGCAAAACUGCAUUACUUCGAAAUGGAAACUCAUGAAAAAUACAAGGGAACCAACUUGCAAAAAAAUUAAACAUAAGUUGUGUUUAAUAAAUAAAGUAUUUUAACACUUGA
rnacentral:misc_RNA from 1 species